rnacentral:rRNA from 1 species
AGUGAACGCUGGCGGUAGGCCUAACACAUGCAAGUCGAACGGCAGCACAGUAAGAGCUUGCUCUUACGGGUGGCGAGUGGCGGACGGGUGAGGAAUACAUCGGAAUCUACUUUUUCGUGGGGGAUAACGUAGGGAAACUUACGCUAAUACCGCAUACGACCUACGGGUGAAAGCAGGAGAUCUUCAGACCUUUCGCGAUUGAAUGAGCCGAUGUCGGAUUAGCUAGUUGGCGGGGUAAAGGCCCACCAAGGCGACGAUCCGUAGCUGGUCUGAGAGGAUGAUCAGCCACACUGGAACUGAGACACGGUCCAGACUCCUACGGGAGGCAGCAGUGGGGAAUAUUGGACAAUGGGCGAAAGCCUGAUCCAGCCAUACCGCGUGGGUGAAGAAGGCCUUCGGGUUGUAAAGCCCUUUUGUUGGGAAAGAAAAGCAGCAGGUUAAUACCCCGAUGUUCUGACGGUACCCAAAGAAUAAGCACCGGCUAACUUCGUG